rnacentral:lncRNA from 1 species
AGCUAGCUAGCAGCUAGAGUGGUGCUAGUUGGUGCAAGUGCAAUGCAAAGGAAGGACCGGUCGGAGGCGGUGCCGUACAUACGUCCGUCAACCCCACACCCCUCGCUGUCAUGGUGGUGACUUGCAAGCGAGAAGAGAGAGAGAGAGAGCGUGCCCAUGAGUGAUGGGCUCUUUGGGGCGACCGCGCAGGGAAGGAAGGAAGCUAGACCCUGUCGUGCAUGCAUGGUUGAUGGUUGACACUUUGAUGUAUGGAUCAUCCGGUCUUGGAAAAGGAAGCAAGCAACAGCAACUGCCAUACUAGCUAUGGUGGUAUAGUAGUGGUAGUACCCCACCCCCUCUGCUGUAGAGAGCUGGGAGAACUCUCAUCUCAAAUGGGGUGGUGGCGUGUGCGAGCUCCCAAGAUCUCU